GAGAGUCCCAAAAUAAAAUAAAAAAACUACAAAGAAGGAAAAUAAAAAAACAAAAUCAGAUAGAAAAUCCAACAUCUGACCACCAUAGCUAUGACUUCACUUUCUCAAAACACCAUUGAGAGCAAAUCAAAGCUGAGGAGAUCAGCCUUGAGAGGAAGAUGAAGCCUCGAUAUACCCAAUCCAAUCUUGAAUCCACAGUCCCCAAACGAUGAAUGAGCUCUGGGUACAUUCUCUGUAGGUGUUUUCAGGUUUCACAAAUGUCGUGAAUAGAUCUCAAAUGAAGACUUCUUCAGCUCCUCCUACCAUGGAUCUAGGAUGUCUCAAUUAGAUAUGAGUUAAGCUUCCUUUAACUUCCCCAAAGAUAUAGGUUUUUUGGUUAAAUUCUGAGAUGCCUUCCUCCCAAGGAAGGUUGAGCUCACCAAGGAGUUGAUACCACUGCCUAUAGAAGUUGCUCCCUUUUUGAUCUGAUCAAAGACCAUUUCAGCUUCUUCAGAUACUUCCAUCGCUUAUUAACUACUCUCUGAAUCACGACAUGUAUGAUCAAUCUUCUGUAUGUGCGCAUUGUGCGCAUUGAUGAUAUAUGUAGCCUUGAACCCUUGACUGUUUUAAUAUUCUGAUGAUCUUUGAAACCUACAGAAUUCUUUUUCA